UCGGGAGAGUAGGAAGAGGCUGGUUAUUAACCACACAGCAGGUCGCAAAUCCUUUGUGCGGAUUCUUGAAGAGAAGAGGGCUGAAUCGGCGAAUAUGGUAGACUUCUUCAAGGAAACCCAUUGGUCAAAGAAGAAAAAUAACUUUUUAACACCAGCCACCGAAGACAAAUAUAAGGACAUGGUUUCGAAGUUGGAUACUCUAGAACCAGAGCAACGAACUGACGAAAGGAUA